CAUCCUUUAUAACACUCAGUAAGUUUCCUCAAACAUUUCUUACAAAUCCUUCAAAACUUAGAAUUUCCUUUGCAAAAUUCCUACUGUGAUCACAGAAACUUUGAUAGUGAAAACCAUCCUUUAUAACACUCAGUAAGUUUCCUCAAACAUUUCUUACAAAUCCUUCAAAACUUAGAAUUUUCCUAUGCCAAAUUCCUACUGUGAUCACAGAAACUUUGAUAGUGAAAACCAUCCUUUAUAACACUCAGUAAGUUUCCUCAAACAUUUCUUACAAAUCCUUCAAAACUUAGAAUUUACCCAUGCAAAAUUCCUACUGUGAUCACAGAAACUUUGAUAGUGUAAACCAUCCUUUAUAACACUCAGUAAGUUUCCUCAAACAUUUCUUACAAAUCCUUCAAAACUUAGAAUUUACCUUUGCAAAAUUCCUAUGUGAUCACAGGAACUUUGAUAGUGUAAACACCCUGAACCUUCAUUCCUCCAUUUUUCAUUGUUUUUAUUCAAGGCAAACCCCAAGGGAUUAUAUAAUCAAUCUGAGGUGACACCUCUCACGCGGGUCUCCUAUUAUUUUAGAAUUAGCUAAACCGUGGGAAGUUGUUUGGAGGAUUAAAAUGUUUAUACAAGUAUCACAAUAGCACAGAGGUCAUUGAUUCAACUAGAGCCGGACAUCUAAUUUAAGAUGACGUGAAAAAAAAUAAAUAGUCGGCUGUUGAGGGAAAUGUUAUUUAACUUGUAUAAAAUCAGUUGCAAAACGUAAAAUAAUAUGCCGGAAACUAAUUGAGAAUUAUUUAAGUCUUUUUUGUCUUCAGUAAUUUUAAUUGAGAAUUUGUUUUCGUUUUGUCCAUUCUUUUCAGUCAUUCAUCCAUGCAUUCUUUCAUUCAUACAUUCAUUCUUUUUCCCACUAUUCUGUCUGACUCGGAAAAGCUAUUACUAAUGUUAAUUAAAGUUUUAUUUUUUUAUUAUUAUUUAUUUUUGGCCUGCUCUGUCACCUAACUCACCUUAAAUCGCAACCAAAAUUGGGCGAGUUUUCUUUUAACCCCCUCCCCUAAAUUAACAUCUAAUAAAGCGAGUUACCAUCCCUGCAAUGAGUCAUACAGCUAUUUCAAUUAAGGUUGUCCCGCGAGUUAUUAGCGAUUCCCAGCAGCCUUUCGCGCUCGUAUUCGACUUUUCCGCUUUGCUUGGGGGACAAUCUUAAUAAUUGAAAUAGCUGUAUACAGCCAAUUCAAAAAAGGUUGUCUUUUGCAAACCUUAAACUCUAAGUGCGCAAAGCUUAAUGGGAGCAUACGUUUCAAGCUUAGUAGUUGAAUAUUGCAGCUAUUUGUGAAUGAAUUGUUCUCGUAAGGCCGGAGAUAUUUACCAUGUUUGUCUCUAAGAAAUGGGCCCCAUAUAUGAUUUCUAAACAGGGCUCGAAGUAGAGAACAAACAUGGCCUGCCAGUCUAAAAUUUUUUGGCAGGUGAAAUAAAUUUU